rnacentral:lncRNA from 1 species
UUUUUUUUUUUCUAUUUUAUCAACUUUGUAUCCAAAGGAAUGACGGAUGUUCCCUAAACUUACUGCGAUAAUCAUUUCCUGAUGUGUGUAAGUCAAAUCAUUACACUGUACAUCUUACACGUACACAAUGCGGUGUGUCAAGCACAUCUCAACUAAACUGCAAGGAAAAAAAUGCUAUGAACACAGCAGUCCGAAAAGAAAUUCUCUCCAAAGAUAUCUUAUGUAUUUUAAUGAAAUCUGUUUCUCAAAAUUAAAAAAAAAAAAGAAUAUGAGCAGACAGGACAAGGAAAACUUGCAGGUGCUUAGUUCUAAAUGCCUUAAAUAAUUCUGAUACUUGGAAGACACAAUCAACAUUUCAGGAGCUAAAAUUAUUUUCUUUCCACCUGAAUUAUUUGAUUAUUUAUCACAACAAAUAAUUAUCAAUUAUUUGAUAAUUUAUCACAACAUUACCAGUGGUGCAUAUGCCCUUUUGGAUUGUAUAUAUAUAUAUUUUUUAAAGUUUCAAGUUGUUUUUAUCAACUAGCUUAUUUUUUUCCUACCUUAAGCUGAUGGUGAUGCUGAAUGGAAUUUUAAUUUACAUCAAAAGAAAAAAAAUGACACCUGGUUUUGAUGUUUAAACAAUUGUGUCUAAUAAUAUCAGGGUACACUGAGGGGAAUUUAUAAGAAAAACACUGAGAGUUCUCACAUUUAAAAACUAUCUUAAUAGGAUUUAUAGUUAGCAAAUAAAAUACUUAAGAUACUAUAUUCUACAAGCUGGUCGCCAUAAGCAAAGAUGCAGGCAACCAUGCAAUCUUGUAUAAUGCAGUUCAAGAUCUGAUUAUAAUGCUGACUGCACUAAAACACACCUAGAACUUAAAAAACAAAACAAGACAAAAUGAUUUGCCUGUGACUUGAGAGGGAGGGCAAAUGAUAACAAGAACAAGCAUAUGCAAAAUAUUCUUUAAGGUAUAUACGAGGGAAUGAAUUAAUUUAAAACAAAUCAAAUACGAGUUGAUAGAAAACAGUACAACCUUAGUAUACGACAUCCAAUCUUUCUCGAGAAAUGGCUACACAAGUCAUGAAUAAUAACCUAUAACUUUUAAUAUCCUUUGGCCAAUAUGCAUUUCAAGCAAAAAAAAUCCACACAGUCGGACCCUCAUAUUUGGGGGACAUUUAUUAGAAUUAGCUUUAAACUGAUGGGAGUAAAUAUCAGGCUUAUUAAUUCUAGUUGCAUCAUAAAAUCAACUGGACGGGCAGAUGGUCACGAGAGGUAAGGUCUGACCAAUAAGGAAUGUAUCAGUCACUGGGUGGAGCUUCUCAGGAAAAUUCUCUCAAUGGCAUUUGCCAGCUGGCACGUACCUUGGGCCCUCCCUUGUACCUCUGGGUGCCUGGCAUACAGGCAACAACACCCAUUUUUUGACUAGACAUGAAAAAUCAAAAGAAUCAAAGGUUUCUACCCUGCCAUCCUUUUUCUGGAUAACAAAGCUAUCAAAUGCCUUCUCAUGACAUGAGAGAAAAAAAUAACAAAACCAUCUCUUGUUCAAGCCGCCAUUAUUUGGGCAUCACGUUAUAUCCACCAAGCCCAACGCCUAAUUAUUAUUAAUAAUAAUAAUGCUAGCUGUAUCCAUUAAAUUCUACCUUUAUUUUUAAAACAAUACAAAUACAUGCCCUUCCGUGGGCCAGGAAUCCACAAGCAGAGAAGAAAUAUUGAACAUCUAUUUAUAUGCCUAGCACUCUACUAGGUGCUACAGAAGACUCUAAAGAAUUGCAAAAUAGGGAGUUCCCGUUGUGACGGCAAUUUAAAAAGACUAGGAAAGAGGUAAAGUAUUAGCUUUAUAAUUAAAAACUCUCCAUGUCCUUCCUGGUGAUCAGGCCCUUGAUUGUCCAUACGAACAACGCCACACUCACACUUCAAACAAAUUCUGCUUUAAAUUGCUUCUUCUGUUGAUUAAAACUAUUUAUAUUCUAUGAAAAAAUUCAGUAUCUAAAGAUAAUAAAAGCUCGCAACUGGUCCCCUCUGCACCCACUACCACCAGGACUAAGCAAACAAUAAACUGGUAUUUUUUGGCUGCGCCCACAGCGUGCAAAAGCUCCCGAGCCAGGGACUGAACCGGAGCCACAGCAGUAACCCGAGAUACAGCAAUGGCAAUGCCAAGUCCUUAACCACUAGGCCACCAGGGAACUCCUUAGUUGUUCUUUCAAAACCUAGACCGAUUUGGCUCUCUCACAAUUCCCAUAGGGUGACCAGAUGUCCCGUGACCGCACAGCUGGCUGAGGCACAGUACUGACUGUAACACGAGCGGUUGACUAACUCGGCUUAGGAUAGUACAGAUACUGGCUCAGUGAUGCAGCUCAACCUGGCAUUACAUACUUGAAAGCCGGACUAGCCUUUCCAAACUCAUGCUUUGCCACUUUGCAGCUAGCCAAGUUCUCUGACUUCUUUUUACUUCGGGGUAAAAGGGCAAUGAGCAAUAAUAGUAACAACGGCCCCACAGGGCUCUUAUGGACCUCACAUCCUCUGGAAAAUGUCUAGCACAUUAAGGACUCAGUACCUGCCGGCUACUGUUACCAGGAGCACAUCUAGAUUUAUAGCCCACAUCGGUUUAACCAAUAAGCCUGACAUCUCCCAUCCAAUCUUGUUGUUAGUUAGGGCUCAUCAGUCCCCUGUGGCUGGUUUUCAGUUCCAGUCACCUG